rnacentral:rRNA from 1 species
UGGGGAAUAUUGCACAAUGGGCGAAAGCCUGAUGCAGCAACGCCGCGUGAGUGAUGAAGGCCUUCGGGUUGUAAAGCUCUGUCUUUUGGGACGAUAAUGACGGUACCAAAGGAGGAAGCCACGGCUAACUACGUGCCAGCAGCCGCGGUAAUACGUAGGUGGCAAGCGUUGUCCGGAUUUACUGGGCGUAAAGGAUGCGUAGGCGGAUUUUUAAGUGAGAUGUGAAAACCCUAAGCUUAACUUGGGGACUGCAUUUCAUACUGGAAAUCUAGAGUGCGGGAGAGGAGAAUGGAAUUCCUAGUGUAGCGGUGAAAUGCGUAGAGAUUAGGAAGAACACCAGUGGCGAAGGCGAUUCUCUGGACCGUAACUGACGCUGAGGCAUGAAAGCGUGGGUAGCAAACAGGAUUAGAUACCCUGGUAGUCCACGCCGUAAACGAUGAGUACUAGGUGUAGGAGGUAUCGACCCCUUCUGUGCCGCAGUUAACACAAUAAGUACUCCGCCUGGGAAGUACGAUCGCAAGAUUAAAAACUCAAAGGAAUUGACGGGGUCAUAGCUGUUUUCCU